rnacentral:rRNA from 1 species
UACGUAGGGGGCAAGCGUUGUCCGGAUUUAUUGGGCGUAAAGGGCUCGUAGGCGGCCAACUAAGUCAGACGUGAAAUCCCUCGGCUUAACCGGGGAACUGCGUCUGAUACUGGAUGGCUUGAGUUUGGGAGAGGGAUGCGGAAUUCCAGGUGUAGCGGUGAAAUGCGUAGAUAUCUGGAGGAACACCGGUGGCGAAGGCGGCAUCCUGGACCAACACUGACGCUGAGUGAGCGAAAGCCAGGGGAGCAAACGGG